AGUUGUUCUCAGUUCGGAUUGUAGUCUGCAACUCGACUACAUGAAGCUGGAAUCGCUAGUAAUCGUAGAUCAGCAUGCUACGGUGAAUACGUUCCCGGGUCUUGUACACACCGCCCGUCACACCACGAGAGUUUGUAACACCCGAAGCCGGUGGAGUAACCUUUUAGGAGCUAGCCGUCGAAGGUGGGACAAAUGAUUGGGGUGAAGUCGUAACAAGGUAGCCGUAUCGGAAGGUGCGGCUGGAUCACCUCCUUUCUAAG
rnacentral:rRNA from 1 species